rnacentral:rRNA from 1 species
CGAACGCUGGCGGUGUGCUUAACACAUGCAAGUCGAACGGUAAGGCCCUUUCGGGGGUACACGAGUGGCGAACGGGUGAGUAACACGUGAGUAACCUGCCCUCAUCUCUGGGAUAACAGUCGGAAACGGUUGCUAAUACUGGAUAUGAGCUUGCAAGGCAUCUUGUGGGUUGGAAAGAUUUUUUUGGUUGGGGAUGGACUCGCGGCCUAUCAGCUUGUUGGUGAGGUAGUGGCUCACCAAGGCUUCGACGGGUAGCCGGCCUGAGAGGGCGACCGGCCACAUUGGGACUGAGAUACGGCCCAAACUCCUACGGGAGGCAGCAGUGGGGAAUAUUGCACAAUGGACGGAAGUCUGAUGCAGCAACGCCGCGUGCGGGAUGACGGCCUUCGGGUUGUAAACCGCUUUCAAUUGUGACGAAGCUUUUUGUGACGGUAGCAGUAGAAGAAGCACCGGCUAACUACGUG